GGGUUGUGAGGUUAAGCGACUAAGCGUACACGGUGGAUGCCCUGGCAGUCAGAGGCGAUGAAGGGCGUGCUAAUCUGCGAUAAGCGCCGGUAAGGUGAUAUGAACCGUUAUAACCGGCGAUACCCGAAUGGGGAAACCCAGUGUGACUCGUCACACUAUCAUUAACUGAAUCCAUAGGUUAAUGAGGCGAACCGGGGGAACUGAAACAUCUAAGUACCCCGAGGAAAAGAAAUCAACCGAGAUUCCCCCAGUAGCGGCGAGCGAACGGGGAGGAGCCCAGAGCCUGAAUCAGCAUGUGUGUUAGUGGAAGCGUCUGGAAAGGCGCGCGAUACAGGGUGACAGCCCCGUACACAAAAGCGCAUGUGCUGUGAGCUCGAUGAGUAGGGCGGGACACGUGGUAUCCUGUCUGAAUAUGGGGGGACCAUCCUCCAAGGCUAAAUACUCCUGACUGACCGAUAGUGAACCAGUACCGUGAGGGAAAGGCGAAAAGAACCCCGGCGAGGGGAGUGAAAAAGAACCUGAAACCGUGUACGUACAAGCAGUGGGAGCACCCUUUGGGGUGUGACUGCGUACCUUUUGUAUAAUGGGUCAGCGACUUAUAUUCUGUAGCAAGGUUAACCGAAUAGGGGAGCCGGAGGGAAACCGAGUCUUAAUUGGGCGUUAAGUUGCAGGGUAUAGACCCGAAACCCGGUGAUCUAGCCAUGGGCAGGUUGAAGGUUGGGUAACACUAACUGGAGGACCGAACCGACUAAUGUUGAAAAAUUAGCGGAUGACCUGUGGCUGGGGGUGAAAGGCCAAUCAAACCGG
rnacentral:rRNA from 1 species